UACAGAGGUCUCAAGCGUUGUUCGGAUUCAUUGGGCGUAAAGGGUGCGUAGGUGGCGCCGUAAGUCGGGUGUGAAAUUUCGAGGCUUAACUUCGAAACUGCAUUCGAUACUGCCGUGCUUGAGAACUGGAGAGGAGACUGGAAUUUACGGUGUAGCGGUGAAAUGCGUAGAUAUCGUAAGGAAGACCAGUGGCGAAGGCGGGUCUCUGGACAGUUCCUGACGCUGAGGCACGAAGGCCAGGGGAGCAAACGGG
rnacentral:rRNA from 1 species